CUCAACUGUUUAGCAAUGUGCCAGGACUAGAGGACAGCUAAGACCUCCGAGUUGAGACUGCAAGUCAUAAAGGACUUUGUGAGGUAUGGUACCCCUGCAACCUAGCACAGUGCAUAGCAUGUAGAAGACCCUCAUUAAACAUUUCUUAUCUGAAUGAAAAUGUUACAAAAUGCAUUGUGAAAUACCUACAAUGUCGAAAGAAAGAUUAUCUGGGUCCGGCUCAAGAUUGUUCAUUAAAGGUUCUUUCCAGAAUUAUCUGGUAUUCAGCUACAACACAGAAGGGCUUUAAUUCCAGGUAUGAAAGUGGAUUUUCUCUGAAGACACACUUCUGGAGAGCUGAAGGUCUGCUUUUUCCUCAGAUAAGGAGGAGGCACUCAGGGCAAGUGGGCAAAGAGGGGGUCCCCCCCAGGGACUUUGGUCUUGAAGUCCAGCCUAGCAGAGAAGAAGGCAGUUUGCCAUUGUUUGGGUUGGUGAAUGCAUGGCCCUGGAGCAGGGCCUGGGUUGGUGUGGUCUUCCAGCUGGACAGUAAGCGGCAGUGGCAGGGCUGUCUCUCAGGAUUAAGCUCCAUGAGUGUACCUCCAGGCUAUGUCCUGGGAUAGGAAAGCCCUCAGUUAAUAAAUGAAGCAGAAAGCCUUGCUCUCUGUGUUCC
rnacentral:lncRNA from 1 species